GCGUUAUCACAGCAAGCCAGUAAGCGUCGCGACGUCAGUAUGAACAUGCGGCCAGUUCAGAUACAAUCAGAGCCACCAGCCACGUGGUUUUUUGGUUUUUUUCUAUAUUUAUAAUUAAUAUCCAACUAACAUUAUAAUUCAAAAUAAAAAAGAAAACAAAAUAAUAGUUGAUCAAAUAACGUCCAAAAGAAUGGAUAAAGAAAAUAUAUACAUAUAUUUAUAAUUAUAAAUUAUAAUAUGUAUAUAUGCAUAUAUAAGUGAAAAUAAUUAAUCAUUAAAAUAAAUUAAUAUCAUGCAGCUAAUCAAACAAUUCAUAAUAAUAAUUUAAUUUAAAUAGUAAUUAGUAAAACAUAUUUGCACUGUGAAGUUUGACACCCAGCGGCAUUUUGUGAAUUUUCGUGGUCGAGAGAAGUUUAAUGAAUUAUUUAUAAAGGAUCCCUCGGUGAUUGCGGUUGCUCUUUGCUCAAUAAAUAUUUGGGUCAGCAAAUAAAUCAAAAUGUCAAAGAAUUCCGGUAAAAAGGAUUGAUAGCUACGGAGUUAUCAUCUCGAGGAUGAUAAAUUCAACCGUACGACUGAAAAAUAUAAUAAAGUACUACGGGUCGCAGAGAAGACCCCAUACGAAGAAGGAAUAAAUUAAUAAAAGACAAUGUCGUGCGAAAAAGCGUCGCGGCGCCUGAGGUAUAUUAUAGCCAAGGCUAAAAGGUUUGGCUUAGCUGAGUACGAACUGGCUGAUUUAUCAGGCGCUAAAAAAAUAACGACAUCUAAAUCCGGUCCGUUUAACACUUGGUAUCUUAUCGCUGUGAUAAUUGCUAUUAUCAUUUGCGGAACACUGGUACUUGCACUUGUUUGUAAUCCGUGUUCUACACGAAGCCAGAUUCAUGUUCAUUGAAAUCAAACUUAUUAAUGAACGAAGAGCGCGAGCCAAUGGCAGUGAAUGAAACUAAAAUUAAUAAUAUAAAAAAAGCCAAUUAUAAAUUUUUUUAGUUAAUUUAUAUAUAUAUAUGUGUAUAAUAAUUAAAUAAAAAAUGUAAACUUUUUUGAAUUUAAAAUAAAAACA